GACGAACGCUGGCGGCGUGCUUAACACAUGCAAGUCGAACGGUGAACCCCUUCGGGGGGGAUCAGUGGCGAACGGGUGAGUAACACGUGAGCAACCUGCCUCUGACUCUGGGAUAACCCCGGGAAACCGGAGCUAAUACCGGAUAUGACACCUGCGGGCAUCCGUGGGUGUGGAAAGAUUUAUUGGUUGGGGAUGGGCUCGCGGCCUAUCAGCUUGUUGGUGGGGUAAUGGCCUACCAAGGCGACGACGGGAGCCGGCCUGAGAGGGCGACCGGCCACACUGGGACUGAGACACGGCCCAGACUCCUACGGGAGGCAGCAGUGGGAUAUUGCGCAAUGGGCGAAAGCCUGACGCAGCGACGCCGCGUGAGGGAUGAAGGCC
rnacentral:rRNA from 1 species